rnacentral:rRNA from 1 species
UACAGAGGUCCCAAGCGUUGUUCGGAUUCACUGGGCGUAAAGGGUGCGUAGGUGGCGAGGUAAGUCGGAUGUGAAAGCUCGGAGCUCAACUCCGAAAUGGCAUUGGAAACUACCUUGCUCGAGGGUUGGAGGGGGACUGGAAUUCGUCGGUGUAGCAGUGAAAUGCGUAGAUAAUCGAGAGGAACAGCCAGUGGCGAAGGCGA